rnacentral:rRNA from 1 species
UACGUAGUUAGCCGGUGCUUUUUCUGCAGGUACCGUCACUUUCGCUUCUUCCCUGCUAAAAGAGGUUUACGACCCGAAGGCCUUCGUCCCUCACGCGGCGUUGCUGCAUCAGGCUUGCGCCCAUUGUGCAAUAUUCCCCACUGCUGCCUCCCGUAGGAGUCUGGGCCGUGUCUCAGUCCCAGUGUGGCCGGUCACCCUCUCAGGCCGGCUACCCGUCGUCGGCUUGGUGAGCCGUUACCUCACCAACUACCUGAUAGGCCGCGAGUCCAUCCUUGACCGAAAUUCUUUCCAGCAACUCACCAUGCGGUGGAAGCUCGUAUCCGGUAUUAGACGCCGUUUCCAGCGCUUAUCCCAGAGUCAAGGGCAGGUUACUCACGUGUUACUCACCCGUUCGCCACUAAUCCACCCAGCAAGCUGGGCUUCAUCGUUCGACUUGCAUGUGUUAAGCACGCCGCCAGCGUUCAUCCUGAGCCAGGAUCAAACUCU